UAUAUUUGCAGUCAAUCACUUCAGUUAAAUCGUGGAGUUGCAAGAAUAUGGAUAACCACCAUUAUUUCACAUUUAUCGAUUGCUACUAGCUCCAAGCUGCUGGAGAUCUGAAUUUUUUUCAAAUUUGGCAUCAAAUGGGGCACUGAUUAUUUCUUGAAAUCCAGUUCCAACCGUAGUCGCUUCUACAUUCAUGUUGGGGAUCCAAUAAAAGAUCAUGAAUGUUGGACAAAGCCAGAGAGCAUGAAAACACUACAAAUUGUACUACUGAUAGAUCAAAAUAAUCGUGGAACAAAGAUUGUUGUUGAGAGGAACUGAUGUUUGGUUGUCUUAUAGAAGGGAAUGUUCUAAUGAGUGCAGAGAAGCUGUCUCAUUUUUGAUUUUUGCACCAACAAGAUUCGCCGACGUGUCAGAAUUACGCCAACUAAGAAGUGUAUUUAUUCAGAGAUUUGGAAAUUCCCUUGAAUGUUAUGUCAGUAAAGAGUUUGUUCAAAACUUAAAUUCAAAAGCUACAAAGGAGAUGAAGCUUUGGAUGAUGCAAGACAUAUCAUCAGAAUCUGGUUUAUAGAACCACAAUAGACAAAAGCUACAUAAUUUGCUUAUGGCGAUACAGGUAAGCUCCUCAUCAACUCUCUAUCUUUCGAAUCCACCUCACCGAGCCUAAAGCCCUGUGGACUUUUUUACGAAGGCCUAACUUGACAGGACCGGACGGUCGAUUCAUAAGGGUUUGAGCAUUGGUCGGAUACCCUACUAGGUAAGGCAAGCGCUCACCGAUUUCUUUAGUGAUAUAGAGAUAGGUGUCUGUAGUGCCGCACCUACUGAAUGAAUUUACUUCAUGCACACCUUAAAGCUAUUUAAUACCUAACUAAAGAUAUUUCAUUUUUGAUACUUUGAUUACUUUCAUACUCAGGCAUGUGGCACUGCCCUUGGACUAUG